GGGCGAUUGGUGAAAUGGCAGACACGUGAGAUUUAGGUUCUCAUGUCGAAAGACGUAAGGGUUCGAGUCCCUUAUCGCCCACCA
rnacentral:tRNA from 1 species